rnacentral:sRNA from 1 species
GUUACCUGGACAAAUAGAGUAGAA